CCCUUAGAUGUUCUGGGCCGCACGCGCGCUACACUGACGAUGGCAACGAGUUUUUCCUUCGCCGAAAGGUGUGGGUAAUCUUUUGAAACAUCGUCGUGCUGGGGAUAGAUCAUUGCAAUUUUUGAUCUUGAACGAGGAAUUCCUAGUAAGCGCGAGUCAUCGGCUCGCGUUGAUUACGUCCCUGCCCUUUGUACACACCGCCCGUCGCUACUACCGAUUGAAUGGUUUAGUGAGGACUCCUGAUUGGCGCCGCCGCCCCGGCAACGGAGCAGCGGACUGCCGAAAAGUUGUUCAAACUUGAUCAUUUAGAGGAAGUAAAGGUCGUAACA
rnacentral:rRNA from 1 species